rnacentral:rRNA from 3 species
GUCACACCCGUUCCCAUGCCGAACACGGAAGUUAAGCUCUUCAGCGCCGAUGGUAGUUGGGGGCUUCCCCCUGUGAGAGUAGGACGCCGCCAAGC